CCAUUCCCCUCUCCCCACCCGUCCGCAUUUAAAAUUUCCAAUCCACCUCUUCGGUCCGGCAAUUUUCACUCUCCACUCUCCCACCAGCAUCACUUGACACCGCCGCCGCCUCAUCUCCAUCUCCAUCUGCAUCCUCGAGCACCAUUCCAAGAACAGCAACCGCAUACGUUGAGCUUGGCCGGCGACGGCAACCCAUGGCUCUCCGCGCGCUCGACAACACGAUGCCCGCUGCCGUCGAGGAACGGCCCAAGAAGGUCGCUAAGGUGGCCGCCCCCACCGAGGCCGCCCCCGUCAAGGCUGCCUCCCCCGAGAGCGGCAAGAGGAAGAAGAAGAACGACGAGAACUCGGCGCCCAGGGCCACGGCCGCGGCAGGGGAGCAGGCCGUGGAGUACAUCCCGUCGGAGGAGCUGGAGGCGGCGGCGCACCCGAAGGCCAAGGCCGCGGGGCUGGUCGCGGAGCUGGACUCCAAGGACUGGAUCCGGGCGUGCGAGGCGCUCAACGACGCGCGCCGCCUCGCGAUCCACCACUCCGCGCUCCUGAACCCGAUCGUGGAGAAGGUGAUGCUGGCCAUCGUGAAGACGAUGAAGAGCCCGCGCAGCGCGGUGCUGAAGACAUCCAUCAUGGCCUGCACCGACAUCUUCAACUCCUUCGGCAACCUCCUCUCCUCCGUCUCCGACGACGCGUUCGACAAGCUGCUGCUCCAACUCCUGCUGAAGGCGUCCCAGGACAAGCGGUUCGUGUGCGAGGAGGCCGAGAAGGCGAUGCGCGCCAUGGCGGCGUCGAUGCCUCCGCUGCCGCUGCUGAAGAAGCUCAAGGCGUACGUCCACCACGCCAACCUCAGGGUCAGGGCCAAGGCCGCCGUCGCCAUCUCCCACUGCGCCGCCAGGAUGGACAUCGCGGCGAUGAAGGAGUUCGGGAUGUCGGCGCUCCUCCAGGUGGCGGCGGAGCUGCUGAACGACCGGCUGCCGGAGGCCAGGGAGGCCGCCCGCAGCGUGGUGGGGUCGAUGCACGGCGCCUUCACCAAGGAGGCCGCUGAUAAGGGGAAGGAGGAGGAGGAGGACGCACCCUCCGUGGCCGCCUCCUGGGAGAGCCUCUGCUCGCUCAGCCUGCCGCCCAUCUCCGCGCAGGCCGUCGCCAAGAUCGCCGCCUCGCAGGGAUGUUUGGCUUGGCUUUGGCUGGUGCCUCGGCGCCACUCGCUGCGACUGCGCGAGCAUGCUGAUGGGCGAGUGAGCGAUUGCUUCAAGGAAUCGGGAUCCUCCUCCUCUGAUCCAACAUAUCCGGGCCCGUCUGCGACACGGAGCUUUCGGCCACUUCUACUGCUUGGACUUGCACGGCGGGCGCUGCUGCCCGGCCCUGUUGGACGCGGGUGGGUGGGGACUGCUCGUGGGAUCCAAUCCAUGGACGGAGGCAAGAAGGCUGAGCAGCCGCACGGCGAUGUCGCCGAGGAGGACCCAGGCCGCCAGCAGCGUUCUAUGGUGGAUGAAGCCGACGGCGACGAGAAGGCGCCUCGCCGGAGCAAGCGGGUUGCUUCCCUCGACGUCUUCCGCGGCCUCACCGUCGCUCUGAUGAUACUGGUGGACGGCGCCGGCGGCGAGUGGCCGGUCAUCGGGCACGCGCCGUGGAACGGCUGCAACCUCGCCGACUUCGUCAUGCCCUUCUUCCUCUUCAUCGUCGGCAUGGCCAUUCCCCUCUCCCUCAAGAGAAUUCCUGACCGUGGUCGAGCUGUGAGGAGAGUAGUCAUUAGGACAUUGAAGCUGCUCUUUUGGGGAAUCCUGUUGCAAGGAGGUUACUCUCAUGCUCCGGAUAACCUGACAUACGGAGUUGACAUGAAGCACGUAAGAUGGGGUGGAAUUCUCCAGAGGAUUGCUCUUGCAUACUUGGUAGUGGCAGUUCUAGAGAUUGUUACAAAAGAUGCAAAGAUUCAGGAUCGGUCAAGUUCGGGCUUCUCUAUCUUCAGAAUGUACUUUUCCCAAUGGAUUGUUGCAUGCUGCAUUCUAGUGGUUUACCUGUCCCUUGUUUAUGGGAUCUAUGUUCCUGACUGGGAAUUCAGAGUGCAAAAUACUGACAGCUCAAACUACGGCAAAGUUUUAACGGUGACGUGUGGUACAAGGGGGAAAUUAAAUCCCCCUUGCAAUGCUGUAGGUUACAUUGACCGCAAAAUCCUUGGCAUCAAUCACAUGUACCAGAAACCAGCAUGGAGAAGGCACUGGGCCUGUACUGAUAGUUCCCCACAUGAGGGACCUUUUAAGAACGAUGCCCCGGCAUGGUGUGUUGCACCAUUCGAACCUGAAGGGAUACUAAGCUCAUUUUCUGCGGUGUUGAGUACAAUCAUAGGUGUCCACUGCGGGCAUGUACUUGUCCAUAUAAAGAGUCAUACAGACAGGCUGAGGCAGUGGGUUGCCAUGGGCAUAGCGCUUCUUGUUCUUGGGAUCAUUCUACAUUUUUCACAUGCAAUUCCGCUUAACAAGCAGCUCUACACAUUCAGUUACAUCUGUGUCACUGCCGGCGCUGCUGGAAUCGUGUUCUCCUUACUCUACGUCCUGGUUGACAUCCUGAACCUGCACUACGUUCGCGCCCCUGCGAUGGAUCGGCAUGAACGCGAUGCUGGUGUACGUGAUGGCCGCGGAGGGCAUCUUCGAGGGGUUUCUCAACGGGUGGUACUACGAGGGCACCAACAACACGCUGGUUUACUGGGUGAGGAAGCACGUGUUCGUGAAGGUGUGGCACUCCACCAGGGUCGGCAUCCUCCUCUACGUCCUCUUCGCGCAGAUCCUCUUCUGGGCUCUCGUCUCCGGCGUCCUCCACCGCACUGGCCUCUACUGGAAGCUCUAGCGAGGACCGAACAGCUUACUGUACAGACACUGUGCUUCCAUUUGUUCAGAAUUGUGUGAAUCAGAUCUGAAUUGCAGCUCGCAGGCCCUGAAUUUGACACUGGCAUGUUAGUGAUCAUGCCACCCUGCAA